rnacentral:rRNA from 1 species
CAAUAGCGUAUAUUAAAGUUGUUGCAGUUAAAAAGCUCGUAGUUGAAUCUUGGGAGCGGGUGGGCUAGCGAGCCACAGCCCGUCCCUGCUUCUUGCCUCUCGGUGCCCCCUGGAUGCUCUUAGCUGAGUGUCCUGUGGCCCGAAGCACUUACUUUGAAAAAAUUAGAGUGUUCAAAGCAGGCCCAAGCCGCCUGGAUACUGCAGCUUGGAAUAAUGGAAUAGGACCACAGUUCUAUUUUGUUGGUUUUCGGAACUGAGGCCAUGAUUAAGAGGGACGGCCGGGGGCAUUCAUAUUGCACCGCUAGAGGUGAAAUUCUUGGACUGGCAGUUUGGACCAGAGCGAAAGCAUUUGCCAAGAAUGUUUUCAUUAA